CCAUUCUAGUAUUCUAAUUCCUAUGUUGAAUAACCCCUUUUGGUUCCAGGUAGAAGAACCUAUCGGGUUCCAGGUAGAACCCUUUUGGGUUCCAUGUCCAUCUCCUUUCAAAGAGGGUUCGACCUGGAACCAAAAGGGAGUCUCCUAUGGGGACAGCCGCAAAACCUUUUUGGAACCCUUUUUUCGAGUAGUGUAGAUAUCAUAAAUUGAAACGUCCUUCCUACUUUACCCGAUCGACUACCAAUGUUGUUCUUCUGCGAGCUGCUCCAUGAGACAACCAGUUGAGAGCUGCAGGCUGUGGCUGCCUGACAGAUGAUAUUCCGCUGAAACUAGGGCUCAAGAUCAACAGAGGUGACUAAUGGAGACUGUCUGGAGAGAAGCAAGGGUCUUCGGCCUGCCAGGAAGAGAAGGCUCCUGAGUCCUGAUAUCUUUCUCUCUCUCUUGUUUGGAGCCUGCCCAGAAACAGGGAAUUAUCAUUCAGUUUGACCAGCCAGACAUAUUCCCUGGUUCACAAGAACAAGGCCGUCUCUAGUCUUUGAAGUCACUAUGCAACUUAAAUAAAAGUUUCUUUGAUGUGCCGAA